CGGUAAAACAUCAAAACAUCUACCACGCUGCACUAAAUUAGGUUCUUAUUCAGUAUUUCUGGCUUGAUUUCCAGUACAAACACCUGAACAUGCUUCACUGACUGAUUCCUCUGCAACGCACUCAGCGUAAAGGAGAGACGUGAGGGAAACGAGGAGAGAGGGUUGAAUGACUCAAACUGGGAGAUAAAACUUGGACGUCAUCUUUCUCAG